GACGAACGCUGGCGGCGUGCCUAAUACAUGCAAGUAGGACGCACAGUUUAUACCGUAGCUUGCUACACCAUAGACUGUGAGUUGCGAACGGGUGAGUAACGCGUAGGUAACCUGCCUAUUAGAGGGGGAUAACUAUUGGAAACGAUAGCUAAUACCGCAUAACAGUAUGUAACACAUGUUAGAUGCUUGAAAGAUGCAAUUGCAUCGCUAGUAGAUGGACCUGCGUUGUAUUAGCUAGUAGGUAGGGUAAAGGCCUACCUAGGCAACGAUACAUAGCCGACCUGAGAGGGUGAUCGGCCACACUGGGACUGAGACACGGCCCAGACUCCUACGGGAGGCAGCAGUAGGGAAUCUUCGGCAAUGGGGGGAACCCUGACCGAGCAACGCCGCGUGAGUGAAGAAGGUUUUCGGAUCGUAAAGCUCUGUUGUUAAGGAAGAACGAGUGUGAGAAUGGAAAG
rnacentral:rRNA from 1 species